GACGAACGCUGGCGGCGUGCUUAACACAUGCAAGUCGAGCGCCCGUAGCAAUACGGGAGCGGCAGACGGGUGAGUAACGCGUGGGAACAUACCCUUCGGUUCGGAAUAACUCAGGGAAACUUGAGCUAAUACCGGAUACGUCCGUGAGGAGAAAGAUUUAUCGCCGAAGGAUUGGCCCGCGUAAGAUUAGCUAGUUGGUGAGGUAACGGCUCACCAAGGCUAUGAUCUUUAGCNGUUCUGAGAGGAAGAUCAGCCACACUGGGACUGAGACACGGCCCAGACUCCUACGGGAGGCAGCAGUGGGGAUUUUGCACAAUGGACGAAAGUCUGAUGCAGUGACGCCGCGUGGGGAUGACGG
rnacentral:rRNA from 1 species